rnacentral:lncRNA from 1 species
GAGAGCCACUUGCAGGGAAGCCUCAGACCUGUUCAAAACAAGUCUGACAAAAGCUGACAAGAAGCUCCAGAGACCUUCCUACUAUCUAUCUAUGGUAGAGGGGAGGUCUGUGAGCCAGCACUCAGCAGUGACACUGAACAUGUGCCGACAGGAGGGAAGCGAUGCGACCUUCCCAUACAGGAAGGACAGCUCUGCCCAUCCUUUCCCAUGGGGCUAUGUGGCCCAUGGCUCUGCACUGCAUUUCUCAGCCUGUUGCUCAAAACAAAGCCUGAGCUAGCCCCUAGGGCACUGGAAAGUGAGGUGUUUGCAAGGCAGGGAUCUACAAGGGGACCUGAGAGCAAUGAGAAGCUCUUGGGAGGGACUCCUUCCAAGCCGGGUAGCAGGCAUCUGAGUAGAGCAGGCUUCCUGGCGGUGUUGGGGUGUAGGCUUCACUCUUGGGAGCCCAGUGAAGGCUUUGAAGCUUUUCUGGGAAUAAUGGUGUAUGCCCUCCAGGUACACUGGGCCCCAGGCUGCUCAUGGUUCUCCCCAGAACAUGGAUUCAAACAUGCCUUACUUGUCUGCACCCCGCCCUCUUGGUCCCCGCCCUCAUGCUUUGCGUAUUAUUUGAGCCAGCUUCCCAUCACAGUGAGUGGGCUCUAGGGCCACCUAGAAGCCUGCGUUGGAACACAGCCUUCUUUCCUUCUCGUGCAGCUCUGUUCUCCAACACAGGUAAGGCUGAUCAUGGGAAAGAGCAGCUGAUGUUUGAAUCUGGAGAGGAGGAGGAGGAGGAGGAAGAAGAGGAGGAGUUCAAGCCCUCAGAUGGGAGUGAGAAUGAGAUGGAAACAGAGAUUCUGGAUUACGUGUGAGGAAGCACUGCUCCCGGGUGGCCAGGUGAGACCAGCAACUGUCCUCACAAAGACGCCAGAGCAAGGUCACGGAGGAGCCUAGAGGCUCCUCUGAAGAGAGCUGGUGUCCUAACCAGAGGCCCUGGCUCUGGCUAUGUCUUGCUGCUUGGUACUAUCUGCUUUUCUGUCCUGGGUGGAAGACUGCCAUACAGAUGUCCCAAGGCUAAGACCAGCAAAAGCCUGAGGUAGAUGUGGUAAACCUAGGGCACCCAUCCUGGCCCUAAGGGUCUUGUGAAUAUAGUGACAGGGGCCUGAGGAGCCUGGUUGGCUAAACUGCCUUUUUGAGCACCAUCUGUUUGGGGUGGCCUUGGUAUAAGCCAAGACCAGCCCUA